AGUCUGGAACUUCAGGUCUGAAGCGUCAUGUGUGCACAGUUUUAAUGUUUACAUGCGGGCGGGAGCGGGACAAAACUUGAAUAUUGCGGGCGGGAGCGGGACAAAAAUAAUCUAUAUUGUUGCGGGAGCGGGACAGAACCUUGCGGGAGCGGGAAUGAAAAAUCUGUCCCGCGCAGGUCUCUAGCGGAGAGUCCUUCUCCACCCCACCCGUUCCUCAGUGAGGGUUGUGGAUUGACGCGUAUAACACACGUACAGCACAGGGCGCACAUCGAGUCGCCACUCGCCAGCAUGCCUCAGUACUGAUUGGUGACUCAAAGGAGGCAGAAGAUAUUGUAUUAAGCAGCACGUGCACGAGUGCACGUAAAUUUGUGAUCGAGUGCAAUUCUUGUGAUAAGCUAAAACUGUGUUUGUCGCUCUCUACUUAACUAUCAGAAACUAAUUUAAGCCUCUGUGAUUUUUUCCUUGCAUAUUUGUAUCGUAAUACUAUUUUUUUUUAUUAAGGCAGAAUCAGUGUAAACAGUAUUCUCAUAUCAUCUAGGACUAGGUAUAAGGUGUUGUUGCAUGCAAACUCUCGAAAUGAAACAAAUAAAUAAAUAAUAAGAAAAAAGCUACGGAGAUUUUAAAUAUCUAUUUCCUUAUAAGGGUGCCGGGAACUUUUGAAAGGCUUUCCAAGGGUGCCUCAAACAAGAAAAGGUUGGGAACCACUGUGUUACAGUUUCACUGUAUUGUUAAUUAUACAGCACAAAUGAAGUGUGCAUUUGCGUGUUUGUUUAAAGUGAAACAUAAAGCAUCGCAUGACCCCCUGCCAGGAAAUCGCACAUCUUCAGGAGACGAAGAGGGUGCAAGUUCUCCUGACUGGCUUCUUGUUCUCAUCGUGGGGGGUGUCACUGUGUUUUCCAUAUCUGUUAUCUGACUUUGUCGGAAGAAGAUAAAAGUGCGAGAGUAUCUAGUGUCUUUUAGCAAUAGGUCAGUUAGAACUAGUUAAUCUUAGUCUUAGUUAGAAUGUCUGAAUACAUUUGAACCUUUUCUGAUGAUAUAAGGCAAGGCAAACCACUUGUCACGAGGGGUCCAGUCCCACUCCACCGAUGACAACAAGAGAAGAGUGAUAGAAACAUGUAGUCUGGCGUGCCGACGCGGUGAUGCUCAGAACAGACCAAAAACAGUUCGGCCUGAAUCGGACCUCAACGUCUGGCACACUUACUGUAUUUACAACACCCCAGCUCAGCAGUUCAGUUGAACGGAUGAAUCUCUUGAAUACAAGAGAGCUGAGAGAAGCUCCUCUUCCUCUUCCUCUUCCUCCUCUUCAGACGUUACGUGGGGCCGUCUGUGUCUCUUUGACUGGAGGCGGGUGUUAGUAACCCUUCCCCGGGACGCCCAGUGUCACUCUGCUCCUUCUCUGCAUGGACUUUUUACUACGCUUGCCUGAUCGUUUGCUUCUAUGUGAUAUUUGCUCUCAGUGGAUUGUUAAAGACUAUCGUCGUCUCUCAUCUUCAUCUCUGUGUUUGUUUGCGCAACCUGAGCGUGACAGUGCGAUCGCCCCGCCUACUCUCGGAAUGAAAUGUUUUUUGUUAUGUCAGCCAGUUACCUGAAGCUAAUUUAGUGAUUCAUUGUGGCGGUAUUCUCAGUAGCAGAUGAACUCAUAUCCUCCCACAGUCUCAGCUUAACAGUGUAGGCUGCUUUCAUAACUCGAGAGAGUUAAAAAAAAUAAAAGCUAGACGAUACUGAGCACAAUAUUGCUGCUGUUUGAGGCUGCUUUACACCGCAAUUUGCCUACCUAAUUACAAUUAAGUGGGCCUUUAUGUGGAAUACGACAGAAAUACAGAAAGGGAGAAGUGUAGGAAUAAGGAAUAAGAAUAAGCAAGGCUACGAAAAGAAAGGGUUUACCAGUAGUGCUCUUAUACAAAAAAAAUGGUGCUUGGUCGGAGCGGUCAUGCAUGACAAAAUGAGAAGUAAAAAAAAGAUACAUUUAUUUUAAUGCUUGCUGCAAGAAUUUAAAUGAAUCCUAAUCUAAUCGUAUCCAUUGAGAGCAGUGGAGCUACGAUCAGUUUACUAUGAUUUUGGUAAAUGCAGCAAAGUUGUCUUUGACGUUAUAAUGCUCGGUGUCGGUUGUUUUCGCAUUUUCCUUUAUAGUAAACGAAUUAUUUCAUCUUUCAGGCCUAUAGACUAGUUUUCAUUGCCUUGUGUGAGAGAAAAAAAAAAAAGUGACUGAUAUCCUGAUCUCAGUUAGACAGUGUUUUAAUAAUGACACCAGUUUCGUUUCCACAAUUUUUAGUUUCUGUUCUCAUUUUAGUUUUUUUAUAUUCUUAGGGUUUUUUUUUUUUUUUUUUUUUUUUUUAAUAAGCUUACGCUUAACCUUACUAAAACAACUGACCGGUCAGAAGACCACUUGUAGACCCCUUGGAGGCAUCGCUUUGGCACAUAGCCUCCCAUGGCCUGUACGGGAGAAAAAUAUGAAUAACGUGCACAUUUUAUUAAAUUGUUCAGUUGAUAGAACAAAGCCCACGAUAAAGUUCAUGUGUGUGUGAUUGCAUGUACAAGUCAGUGGAAUUGUUUAAUUACGAAACGAAAACAACAGGCUCCAUGCCAUUUUCUUUGGAUUUGAAAUGGUAUUUAUCUUUUUUUUAUUCCGUGGAAGAAAAGUUUUUAGUUUCCAGUAACCUAAGGCUACACGGGUGAGGUGGCGAUAGACUACAUUUAAUUAGAAUAAUGAAAUGACUAUUAAAAAAAAAAAAAAAACAUCAGGAGAGAUAUGUAUUACUGACCUUUAAAUUUUGCUCACAAAUGCAAACAUUUUAAACAAAGCUCGUGCAAUCGAGUUCAUUAUACACACACACACACACACACACACACACAUAUAUAUAUAUAUAUAUAUAUAUAUAUAUAUAUAUAAUUAUUACGAUGAACUCGUUUGCACGAGCUUUGUUUAAAAUGUUUUAUUUUUUUUUAUUGUUUUUUCAACACCGUACAUAGCCUAAUAGCCUACAAAUAUUUGCAUUUCCGAUCACGGUUUAUGAGAUCUUUCAUCUAGUAAUAUUCAGCUAAUCGCACGUGCUGAACACACGGUGCAUUCAAAAGGACAAAAAAGUAUUGCCGCGGCCCUGAUUCUACUGCAAUAACGUGUGUCAUUUGGGAAUCUUUUAAAUACAUAUGGCCGUUUAGCUAUUUACUUUAUUUAUGGAUCAUAACCAAUUGAAUUCCGCACACAAAUAAGCCUGCACGCUAAACUGCAGCGCUUUCACGGCCCUGGUGUCCGCGGAUCCUCGGCGUUAUCCUCAGCCCUUCCUGGGACUCAAAGAAAUGAAAUAGGCUCCUGUAUGAACGUGUUAGAAUGAUCCAGUUGUCAUAGCAGCUUAAAAAAAUAAUUAAAUUAAAAAAAUAACCACAGCAUGAUUACACUUUCAAAACACUUGAGCUUUUCGCUAAAUAGGCAUAUUUCUUUAAGAUUUAAUCUCUUUUAAAAAAUACAGUUUGUGCGAGCCUUAGAAACAUUCAAGAAGGAAUAUCCAGUUUGAGAAUAUUUAUUAUAUGCAUUUUCAAUGCAGCCCAAUAAAUAAAUAAUUAAUGAAAUAAAUUAAUUGAUAUAACAUAAUUUAGGAAGCUGUUCGAUUUUUAUUUUGUUUUGAUUUGUUAAUUUAUUUAGUUAUUUGUUAUGAGCCUGCCUGGUUGAAAAAGAGCAGGCAGGGCUUUGGGGAGAUGCCUUAACCGUGACAUCCCUUAAAAAGAUCACACAACAGACACACAACUUAAAGUUAAGUUAUGGGUUUUGUAAUAGUAGAUUAUUUUUAUUAUUACCGCUGAACGUAACGUGAUUUUUAACAUGAGCUAAUUUCAGUUUCAACUAUAAUUAAAAAAUAGCGUUUUUUCUCCUUAGUAUUGUGAUUUUUUGUUACAAUUGUUUUGUGCAUAUGGAUCAAAGCAACAAUGCAAUGCACUAUCUUAUUGUCGAUAUUAAUAAUAAGACAAUAUCUGUAGUCGGUAUUAAAUGCGCGGGGUGAUGAAGCGGUUUUCUGAAACUGUGAAUAAAUUGAAUAAAACAGUAAUAACAAAAAUAACGUCUUGAAACAAUGAUGAUAAAUCGGCAUUUUAGAAUGAUUAUCUGUAUAUUAUCUGUAUUUUCAGAUAAUGCUGAUCAAAAUUCAGCUUUCGCAAAUAUCCAAACAUAUUUUAUAUUAUAUUAAAACAGUAAACCAUUAUUUUUAAUUGCAAUAAUAUUUAACAAUAUUACCUUUUCUGUAUUUCUGAGCAAAUAAGUCUGUCCUCUGUGUCGUGUUAGUUCACUCAAUUCCGGUGUGUAUUUAACUUCCAACUUGCUUCGGUUUUGUCGUCGGUUCUCGUCUCUUAAUGCGUGUGGUUUUGUGUCUGCAGUGUUUAUUUCGUUCCUAGAAAGAUUAAAAUUGUUUUAUUUUUCCUCGUUCUCUCUCUCUCUCUCUCUCUCUCUCUCUCUCUCUCUCUCUCUCUCUCUCUCUCCACCGUGACUAUGACUAG